rnacentral:rRNA from 1 species
GACGUAGGGUCCGAGCGUUGUCCGGAGUUACUGGGCGUAAAGGGCGCGUAGGCGGUUUCUUACGUUCCACGUGAAAGCCCACGGCUCAACCGUGGAGGGUCAUUGGAAACUGGGGGACUUGAGUGCAGAAGAGGAAAGCGGAAUUCCACGUGUAGCGGUGAAAUGCGUAGAGAUGUGGAGGAACACCAGUGGCGAAGGCGGCUUUCUGGUCUGUAACUGACGCUGAGGCGCGAAAGCGUGGGGAGCAAACAGG